rnacentral:rRNA from 1 species
GUACGGGAGGCAGCAGUGGGGAAUUUUGCACAAUGCCCGAAAGGGUGAUGCAGCAACGCCGCGUGAGGGAUGAAGGCUCUCGGGUCGUAAACCUCUUUCGAUCGGGAAAAAUGGGCGGGUGAAGAGCCCGUUCUGAUGGUACCGGAUGAAGAAGCCCCGGCCAACUACGUGCCAGCAGCCGCGGUAAUACGUAGGGGGCGAGCGUUGUUCGGAAUUACUGGGCGUAAAGGGCGUGUAGGCGGUGCGAUAAGUCGGAUGUGAAAUCCCCGGGCUCAACCCGGGGCGGUCAUUCGAAACUGUCGCGCUAGAGGGUGGGAGAGGGAAGUGGAAUUCCCGGUGUAGCGGUGAAAUGCGUAGAUAUCGGGAAGAACACCGGUGGCGAAGGCGGCUUCCUGGCCCACAACUGACGCUGAGGCGCGAAAGCUAGGGGAGCAAACAGGAUUAGAUACCCGUGUA